rnacentral:rRNA from 1 species
UACGGAGGGGGCUAGCGUUGUUCGGAAUUACUGGGCGUAAAGCGCACGUAGGCGGAUCAGAAAGUCAGAGGUGAAAUCCCAGGGCUCAACCUUGGAACUGCCUUUGAAACUCCUGGUCUUGAGGUCGAGAGAGGUGAGUGGAAUUCCGAGUGUAGAGGUGAAAUUCGUAGAUAUUCGGAGGAACACCAGUGGCGAAGGCGGCUCACUGGCUCGAUACUGACGCUGAGGUGCGAAAGCGUGGGGAGCAAACAGG